UCAAUGACUACCCCCAUAAAACCCUAAUUCUCAAACCUCUUCAAAACUGCACUUCCUUUUAGCGGAGCCUCUCCUCCGUGCCACCCCUUCUCCGUCGUCUAAUCUCAAAUCCACCCAGAACCCCAUUUUUGUUUCUGGCUCAAAUUCAGCCAAAAUGUCGAUGUCGAAGAGUUCCAAAAUGCUUCAAUACAUCAAUUACCGUAUGCGUGUAACAAUCCAAGACGGCCGUCAAUUGAUCGGAAAAUUCAUGGCUUUCGACCGACACAUGAACCUCGUGCUUGGCGACUGUGAAGAGUUCCGCAAACUUCCUCCGACAAAAGGAUCCAAAGAAGAACGUGAAGACCGGCGUACACUUGGUCUCGUACUUCUCCGUGGUGAAGAGGUUAUUUCAAUGACUGUUGAGGGCCCACCUCCUCCUGAUGAAUCCCGGGUUAAGUCUACUGCUGCCGGUUCUGCUGUUCCCGGCCCGGGGCUCGGUCGGGCUGCUGGUCGUGGUGUUCCUACUGGGCCUUUAGUUCAUGCUCAGCCUGGACUUGCUGGGCCUGUUCGUGGUGUUGGUGGGCCUGCUCCUGGUAUGAUGCAGCCUCAAAUUUCCCGGCCUCCGAUGCCGAAUGUCUCUGCUCCCCCAAUGAAUUACCCGCCGCCGGUGAUGAGGCCGCCUGGUGGUGGCCCACCAAUGCAAAUGCAGAUGCAGAGACCUGGGGGUCCACCACCGCCUAUGGCGCCUCCACCACAGUUCAGGCCUGGUGGUGGCCCACCACAGUUCCCGCCGCAGUUUGGUCAGCGGCCAAUGGUUCCUCCGCCUCCCAUGAUGAGGGGCCCACCUCCACCUGGUGCUCCACCUCGACCAGGAAUGCCUGGUGGUCCUCCUGGUCAACCGCCUCGCCCGGGUAUGCCACCCCCGCCUCCUGGCGGUCAGGUUCCUGUUUAUGGGCCUCCUCGUCCUGGUAUGCCUCCACCACCUAAUCAGCAGAAUCAGCAGUAAUAUAACCGUGUAGGGCUUACUGUAAAGGUCAACUAGUCAUAUCUUCUCCUGCAUGCGUGAAUGGUGGUGUUACAAGUAUCACUGGGCUAAGGCGGUUUCUAUUAUGUUGAGCUGGUCAGAUGAUCUAUCUUCAUGCUGUAUGCACCCAAUGUUCGUCGGUGUUUGCUAGAGUCCUGUAACUUUGCGAUAUAGGAGAUUUCAGACGGAUGUAGUUAACAGUAUUUUUCUUUUCUCCUUUUCUUUUGAAUAUUAAAACUGUGUUACUAUUUUGAUGUGACUGAAUGAGAACUUAAGUGGUGCUAGACGGAGCUGGAAUGUGCGGCUUGCAUCUUUAUUUCUUCCAUUCCCUGGAUGGCAAGAAUAA